AACGAACGCUGGCGGCAUGCCUAACACAUGCAAGUCGAACGAUUGCCUGCGGGUGAGAGUGGCGCACGGGUGCGUAAGGCGGGGGAAUCGGCCCGUAGGUUCGGAAUAACAGCUGGAAACGGCUGCUAAUACCGGAUGAUAUCGCGAGAUCAAAGAUUUAUCGCCUGAGGAUGGGCCCGGGUUGGAUUAGGUAGAUGGGGGGGUAAAGGCCUACCAAGCCGACGAGCACUAGCUGGUCUGAGAGGAUGAUCCGCCACCCUGGGACGGAGACACGGCCCAGACUCCUACGGGAGGCAGCAGUGGGGAAUAUUGGACAAUGGGCGCAAGCCUGAUCCAGCAAUGCCGCGUGAGUGAUGAAGGCCCUAGGGUUGUAAAGCUCUUUUACCCGGGAAGAUAAUGACUGUACCGGGAGAAUAAGCCCCGGCUAACUCCGUG
rnacentral:rRNA from 1 species